rfam:Felis catus isolate Cinnamon breed Abyssinian chromosome B3, whole genome shotgun sequence.
GCCUGGGUGACUCAGUCAGUCAAGCGUCUGACUUCAACUCAGAUCAUGAUUUCACACUUCGUGGGUUCGAGUCCCGCGUCGGGCU